rnacentral:rRNA from 1 species
UACCAGCACCCCGAGUGGUCGGGACGAUUAUUGGGCCUAAAGCAUCCGUAGCCGGUCAUGCAAGUCUUCCGUUAAAUCCAGCCGCUCAACGGUUGGGCUGCGGAGGAUACUACGUGGCUAGGAGGCGGGAGAGGCAAGCGGUACUCAGUGGGUAGGGGUAAAAUCCUUUGAUCCAUUGAAGACCACCAGUGGCGAAGGCGGCUUGCCAGAACGCGCUCGACGUGAGGAUGAAGCUGGGGAGCAACCGG